AUGCAUGGCCCUGCCGCUGAAAUCCUAUGGCUCGCUGUCAAUUUGCCAUCCUACGUCGCCAUCGAGCCCCUUUUGUCAUUUCUGAAGGACACGUUCUGCAACGCUGGCUCGGGAUCCACAGCUUCCAAGUCAGACCUCAUCGACGGCGACCACGAGGAGGGCACCCUCUCCGGCUCUUCCAAGGGGAAAGAGCCCAUCUGCUCUUCCAUGGGGAAAGAGCCCAUCUGCGACAUCAGGGAGGGCACCCUACAGCCAUGCUCUUCCAAGGGGAAGGAGCCCAUCUGCGACAACAUGGAGUGCAUCUAG
rnacentral:rRNA from 1 species